AGGAGGAUACACCCUCCCUAAGACU
rnacentral:tRNA from 1 species